rnacentral:misc_RNA from 1 species
UAUGAAGAACGCAGCGAAAUGUGAUACUUGGUGUGAAUUGCAGAAUCCCGUGAACCAUCGAGUCUUUGAACGCAAGUUGCGCCCGAAGCCAUUAGGCCGAGGGCACGCCUGCCUGGGCGUCACACGUCGUUGCCCCCCCAUCUACUCCUUCGGGAUUGCGGGGGGCGGAUGAUGGCCUCCCGUGCGCCUCGUCGCGCGGUUGGCAUAAAUGCCAAGUCCUCGGCGACGCACGCCACGACAAUCGGUGGUUGCGAAACCUCGGUUGCCCGUCGUGUGCGGUCGUCGCGCAUCGAGGGCUCGAAAAAAUUGCCGGGCUCCGGCUCGGCUUUCAACGCGACCCCAGGUCAGGCGGGGUUACCCGCUGAAUUUAAGCAUAUCAAUAAGCGGAGGA